AACGAACGCUGGCGGCAGGCCUAACACAUGCAAGUCGAGCGCCCCGCAAGGGGAGCGGCAGACGGGUGAGUAACGCGUGGGAAUCUACCGUGCCCUACGGAAUAGCUCCGGGAAACUGGAAUUAAUACCGUAUACGCCCUACGGGGGAAAGAUUUAUCGGGGUAUGAUGAGCCCGCGUUGGAUUAGCUAGUUGGUGGGGUAAAGGCCUACCAAGGCGACGAUCCAUAGCUGGUCUGAGAGGAUGAUCAGCCACAUUGGGACUGAGACACGGCCCAAACUCCUACGGGAGGCAGCAGUGGGGAAUAUUGGACAAUGGGCGCACGCCUGAUCCAGCCAUGCCGCGUGAGUGAUGAAGGUCUUAGGAUUGUAAAGCUCUUUCACCGGUGAAGAUAAUGACGGUAACCGGAGAAGAAGCCCCGGCUAACUUCGUGCCAGCCGCCGCAGUAA
rnacentral:rRNA from 1 species